UUUAGCCACUCAGUUUAUCAAAAACUAUAGAAUAGGUGAAACAAUGUUUCAUUUGGUGAAAGAAUAUAAUGAUUUUUACAAAAGUAAAGAGACUCUGGAGGAGAGAGAAGUACCUUGAAAAGAAGGGUCAAAGUAAUACAUUUUAAAUUACUUCGACCAUUUUUAUUUCUACUGGCUUUUAACCCUUAGCUGUACCUAUCUGCUGAAUUUAACUUGAGCUUGCGAGUACAAAUACUGGAUUUUAAACUUGUAUUUCUUGGUAGUAGAUUUUAUAGUCAUAUGGAGAGUGUUGUCUAGCAGUUACCAGCGUAACAGUGCUCACAGCACCUCCAGAAAUAUGUACUGAAACUUACUCUGCGUUUGAGCCAUCUGCAUUGCUGCAAGAAGAGGAGACCCACAUGCUGACUUCUUCCCCACCCUUUUAUUGUGAAUGUUUCAGUCCCGUCAUGAAUGCUAUGUGGCUGUGCUGUGAACUGGAUCUGGGCGUCAACACAAUGGGCAGGCCUGUUCUUUUGUCCAGUUGUUUCCUGUUACAAGCAGCCUUGCAGGAAAGCAGAGUAUCCCUGUCUUGGCCUGGCAGUGAGAGUGCUUGCAGAACUGGUAGCUGUUUCCUGUUGAUCGUGCUUUUCAGAAUCAGUUCCUACAUGUCUUCAACUGUGCGCUGUCUUUAUCUUGCAAUGAAGAGAGCUGAACAAUUGAUUUCAGAAAGCCAUUGCUGUUGUCUUUUGACUCUUCAGAAAUGUCUUCACAAGAGACAUUAUCAUUCAAGCAUUUGAUAGAGGUCUGAUCUCUGCUUAUGGACUACUGAUGCAUAACACAAGUGAUACGUAAUAAAACACAAAAGAUGAAUUUUCUGCUCA
rnacentral:lncRNA from 1 species